rnacentral:rRNA from 1 species
ACCUACGGGGCGCAGCAGUGAGGAAUAUUGGUCAAUGGCCGGAAGGCUGAACCAGCCAAGUCGCGUGAGGGAAUAAGGCCCUAUGGGUCGUAAACCUCUUUUGUCAGGGAGCAAAGGCGUCCACGUGUGGACGAGAGGAGGGUACCUGAAGAAAAAGCAUCGGCUAACUCCGUGCCAGCAGCCGCGGUAAUACGGAGGAUGCGAGCGUUAUCCGGAUUUAUUGGGUUUAAAGGGUGCGUAGGCGGAGUGUCAAGUCAGCGGUAAAAUUUCGGGGCUCAACCCCGCCGUGCCGUUGAACCUGACGC